rnacentral:rRNA from 1 species
GACGGACGCUGGCGGCGUGCUUAACACAUGCAAGUCGAACGGAAAGGCCCUGCUUUUGUGGGGUGCUCGAGUGGCGAACGGGUGAGUAACACGUGAGUAACCUGCCCUUGACUUUGGGAUAACUUCAGGAAACUGGGGCUAAUACCGGAUAGGAGCUCCUGCUGCAUGGUGGGGGUUGGAAAGUUUCGGCGGUUGGGGAUGGACUCGCGGCUUAUCAGCUUGUUGGUGGGGUAGUGGCUUACCAAGGCUUUGACGGGUAGCCGGCCUGAGAGGGUGACCGGCCACAUUGGGACUGAGAUACGGCCCAGACUCCUACGGGAGGCAGCAGUGGGGAAUAUUGCACAAUGGGCGGAAGCAUGAUGCAGCAACGCCGCGUGCGGGAUGACAGCCUUCGGGUUGUAAACCGCUUUCGCCUGUGACGAAGCGUGAGUGACGGUAAUGGGUAAAGAAGCACCGGCUAACUACGUG